GUUUUAUCUGUAAGUUGGAUAGCAGUGUCACACUAAAUGCAAAAUGUGGAUUUCCUUUCAGUAUCUAAAGGGGCUGUGAGAAGGAAGGGGACAGACUCUAUACUGGGGUCUGUGUUAUAAGAGAAGGGGAAAUGGCUCCAGACUGCAAGAGGGGAGAUUGAGCCUGGAGAUAAGGAAGAAGGUUUGGCACUGAGGGCGGUGAGGCAGUGGCACAGGUUGCCCAGAGAGGCGGUGGUGCCCCGUCCCUGCAGACAGCCAAGGUCAGGCUGGACGGGGCUCUGAGCACUGCUGGAGCUGUGGCUGUCCCUGUGCACUGCAGGGAGUGGCACCAGGCGGCCUUUGGGGGUCCCUUCCAGCUCAGACCAUUCGAAGAUCUAUGAUUCAUCUCCCAAUGGAACAUGGCAAGAUUCUUCUGCUCACCAGAGCACUUUGCCUUCUUAAGAGUGCAAAUAUGAAAGGAGAGCUCAUCAGCCAUAAUGCUGCACUGGGGCUGUUCAUUUCACUUAGGUCCCUACCUCAGCUAUGCUGUGCUCUUGUGCAAGGACUGUCCAGUGCCAACAUGCCUCACACAGCAGUGCUGUCCAUAAAGGGGCCGCUGUAUCCCCACUCAGGGACCCAGCC
ensembl:lncRNA